CCCGGAUCUGGAGUGCACUAGGGCUCCGCCGCGCGGACUCCACCUAGCUGCUCGGCAAACGCUUGGAGAUAUCUCUUCUACAGAAAUAAACAGAGGUAUGGACAAGAAUUUUAUACAAUGAUAUACAUCUCAGUCAUCAUCGUUAUGUAAGGGGAGUAUGUAAGAAGAGGAUCUGUAUAUUUUCUACAUUCUACAUGACCUGGAAACUGAUCUAUAGAUAUAGAUAAGGCUAUAACUUCUUUAAAGUAAUGAUCAUCAUCGUCUAUGGCCUGAGUUUAAUCCUCCCAAGAAACCAGCAACAGAGAAUGUACUGUGAUUUCCACUUCAAUACUUAAAACUUCAAGAAUAAUUCUUCAAGAGGCCAACCAAUCUUUGAACUCACCAUAGGACUCCAACCUUAUUCAACUCUUGGGAACCGUGGGAAGCUGA